GACGAACGCUGGCGGCGUGCUUAACACAUGCAAGUCGAACGGAAAGGCCCUGCUUGCAGGGUGCUCGAGUGGCGAACGGGUGAGUAACACGUGGGUGAUCUGCCCCUUACUUUGGGAUAAGCCUGGGAAACUGGGUCUAAUACUGGAUAGGACCAUGCUGUAGGUGGUGUGGUGGAAAGAUUAGUUUCGGUAAGGGAUGAGCUCGCGGCCUAUCAGCUUGUUGGUGGGGUAAUGGCCUACCAAGGCGUCGACGCGUAGCCGGCCUGAGAGGGUGGACGGCCACAUUGGGACUGAGAUACGGCCCAGACUCCUACGGGAGGCAGCAGUGGUGAAGAUUGCACAAUGGGCGCAAGCCGGAUGCAGCGACGCCGCGGGGGGGAUGACGGCCUUCGGGUUGUAAACUCCUUUCAGCCAUGACGAAGCCCUUGUGGUGACGGUAGUGGUAGAAGAAGCACCGGCUAACUACGUG
rnacentral:rRNA from 1 species